CGCUGGCGGCAGGCUUAACACAUGCAAGUUGAACGGGAUUUGAUGGUAGCUUGCUAUCAUUAAUGAGAGUAGCGCACUGGUGAGUAACACGUGGGAACAUGCCUUUUGGUGGGGGACAACAGUUGGAAACGACUGCUAAUACCGCAUAAGCCCGGAAGGGGAAAGAUUAAUUGCCGAAAGAUUGGCCCGCGGAAGAUUAGGUAGUUGGUGGGGUAAAGGCCUACCAAGCCGACGAUCUAUAGCUGGUCUGAGAGGACGAACAGCCACAUUGGAACUGAGACACGGUCCAGACUCCUACGGGAGGCAGCAGUGAGGAAUAUUGGGCAAUGGAGGAAACUCUGACCCAGCCAUGCCGCGUGAGUGAAGAAGGUUUUCGAAUUGUAAAGCUCUUUCGGGUGUGACGAUGAUGACGGUAACACCUAAAGAAGCCCCGGCAAACUUCGUGCCAGCCGCCGC
rnacentral:rRNA from 1 species